rnacentral:tRNA from 1 species
GCUGCUGUGUCCGAGUGGUUAAGGAGAUGGGUUUGGAAUCCACUGGGCUCUGUCCGCACAGGUUCGAAUCCUGUCCGCAGCG